AAGGAAUAUUGGACAAUGGGCGCAAGCCUGAUCCAGCCAUGCCGCGUGCAGGAUGAAGGCCCUAUGGGUUGUAAACUUCUUUUAUCUGGGAAAAAACCCAUGAAUUCUUUCGUGGUUGACGGUACCAGAUGAAUAAGCACCGGCUAACUCCGUGCCAGCAGCCGCGGUAAUACGUAGGUGGCAAGCGUUGUCCGGAUUUAUUGGGUUUAAAGGGUGCGUAGGCGGUUGAUUAAGUCAGUGCUGAAAUAUCCCGGCUUAACCGGGAGGGUGGCAUUGAUACUGAUUGACUUGAGUAAAGUUGAGGUAGGCGGAAUUGACGGUGUAGCGGUGAAAUGCUUAGAUAUCGUCAAGAACACCGAUAGUGUAGACAGCUUACUAAGCUUUAACUGACGCUGAGGCACGAAAGUGUGGGGAUCAAA
rnacentral:rRNA from 1 species